GCACAAUCAAACAUUUUAGUUUCAAAAUAUGAAGUAUUUUAUUGCUCUUGUUUACACAGAGUAACAUCUCCAACUGCCAUUUUGAUCUAGCCUUCAUCAUUUUCUGCUUCUUGCGCUUAGCAGCACCAGCAGGAAGCCGCUUGGGGUAAGCAGGCUCCAGCACCACGUAGCCGCUAGAUCUGAACUCCAUCUGUUUCCAGUCCAGGAUGCUGCCUCGAGAUGGGACCGAGUGGUGAUACAGGUACCUGUGGAGCUCUCGGACACUGAGGACCGAAUCCCACAGGAGCUCUGGAGGAACCGAGUGCACUUCUCCAUCCUACCUGCAGAGGGCGCUGCACUUCUCCCUCUACACACAUUCACUUCCACCCCUCAGGAGUUUCUCCUGUGAGUCUGAGCACCACAGUUGUCCAGUUUCAGGAUGUGGCGGCAGUUUCACGUCCUGUUCUGAGCUUUAAUUCCCUCACAGCUCUCACACACACUCAGCACUUUUGCAGUGUUUAUUAGUUUCAUGGAGCACAAAACUCCAGAUCACGGCUCAGUU